GCUUGAUUGCAAGACAUACAGGUCGAGCAAGGAUGAAAAUCGGACUUAGUGAUCCGGUGGUUCUGCGUGGAAGGGCCAGCGCUCAACGGAUAAAAGCUACCCUGGGGAUAACAGGCUUAUCUCCCCCAAGAGUCCACAUCGACGGGGAGGUUUGGCACCUCGAUGUCGGCUCAUCACAUCCUGGGGCUGUAGUAGGUCCCAAGGGU
rnacentral:rRNA from 1 species